CCUGAUGCAGCGACGCCGCGUGAGGGAUGACGGCCUUCGGGUUGUAAACCUCUUUCAGCAGGGACGAAGCGCAAGUGACGGUACCUGCAGAAGAAGCACCGGCCAACUACGUGCCAGCAGCCGCGGUAAGACGUAGGGUGCGAGCGUUGUCCGGAUUUAUUGGGCGUAAAGAGCUCGUAGGCGGCUUGUCGCGUCGACCGUGAAAACUUGGGGCUCAACCCCAAGCCUGCGGUCGAUACGGGCAGGCUAGAGUUCGGUAGGGGAGACUGGAAUUCCUGGUGUAGCGGUGAAAUGCGCAGAUAUCAGGAGGAACACCGGUGGCGAAGGCGGGUCUCUGGGCCGAUACUGACGCUGAGGAGCGAAAGCGUGGGGAGCGAACAGGAUUAGAUACCCUGGUAGUCCACGCUGUAAACGUUGGGCGCUAGGUGUGGGGGGCCUCUCCGGUUCCCUGUGCCGCAGCUAACGCAUUAAGCGCCCCGCCUGGGGAGUACGGCCGCAAGGCUAAAACUCAAAGGAAUUGACGGGGGCCCGCACAAGCGGCGGAGCAUGCGGAUUAAUUCGAUGCAACGCGAAGAACCUUACCUGGGUUUGACAUGGCCGCAAAACUUCCAGAGAUGGGAGGUCCUUCGGGG
rnacentral:rRNA from 1 species